UCACGUGUCCUGGAAGUGAAGAGUGGGGAUGUUGUCAAGAGUUUCCUGUGGGGAAGGUGACAUCCUUGUCUGAGGAGUUUGUCCCUGACUCCCCCACGCUGCUUCCUCUUUUGGCAUCCCCUCUGACAGGCAGAUUACAUUUGCUGCACAAAGUCGUUGUAGGUACAAGCAUAGAGUAUGUACUUUGGAUUAAUAGGGAGUGAUAUAUGUGUAAAGAGUAGUGUACCUCCUAAACCCGGAGGUGUCCUGCGGUGAGUGCAUGGUGCUCAAGGUGAAGAUUAGCAGAGAGCUUGUGGCAACAUAACAUCUCCUACAGGUGUUGUGUAGUCGAGCAUUUGACACUUACUUACUCUAAAUAGCAAUAAUCAUGAAAUAAUAUGCUAUUCAAAUUAUUAUGCGAUUAGGGUGUAUUUUAAUUUUUUUGUCUGUGCAUGUGCAUAUUUUUUGCGUGCACCUCUGGCUCUGUGUCAGACUGUCAAGCAUUUGCCUUCGAGUUUUACACAAUGUCACAUUCCUGAAGUUGUCAUAUUUAGUCCACUGAGGUACAGAGUAUAAAAAAAAACCCACUAGCAUACCAAUGAGCUUAUAAACAUCACAAAUAUCCCCCCUGAGAUAUGACACAGCCCUAAAGUCAGGGAAUAAAAUGCGUAUGUCUUGUUAUAUGAUUUGGGUCCUUUGUUUGCCUCUUUGUCUCCUUUGUUUUUCAUUCUUGCUUGCUUGCUUCCCUGUCUUUAUUUCCCACCUCCCCGUUUUCAGUGUUCCUGCAGAUUCCCCUGCUGUCGUCACUCGUCACAUUCCCCAAUCUGUUAGCCUUCAGAUACCGGGGCCAGACUUGAAAGGAAGUCUUAAGGACGAGGAGCUUAUACACUGUGCCAGAUUUUGUUAAAUAACUACGAGAUGUUGGUGCCAAUUCAUCGGUAAUUGUCCCUUCUGGCACAGUCUGUUGAAAGUCCUGGAGAAGCCUAAGCUCAAGAUCACUGCAAGUGUUAAUCUUCUUAUACUUAAGGUAUCAGGUUUUCUUUUGAUGUCGCUAAACAUGUUGACUCCUAUCUCGGCGCAGAAGGCAAUCCAGACAUAGCUAUGAGCGAGAUGGGGGUUUGUCUGUCUUCCUCUUCCAAAAAUCUCAUGGUUUAUGUGUUCCUCUGCAAGCAUUCAUUAUGAUGCUAAAAUAAAGCAACAACAAAAUGAAAGGGGGGGGGAGGAAACUGGAAGAAAGGGAUUGAUUCUGUACUAAUUGUCCUUUCCGUAGCACAAUUUGGCUCGCGCAUGUACAGUGUAAAAUGGUCUGAUUUAUUUUUAAUGAGACGCAAUGCUAUUUCUCAGACUAGUCUAGCCCAAGGUUAUUUCCAAGACCUGGUUUGUCAGGCUCCUUUCAAGAUCAGACAUUUGUCUCAAAAGUAUAAAUGAUUUAGUGUCUAAUUAAUUUUCCUCACCUCAGGGUGCACUGUAUGUGUUUUAGCUCAGGUGUGACGGAGUCAGCAGUUGAUUGUGUACCUGAGUGGAGAUGACCACACAGAUUCGCAUUUGCUGGGGAAUCCGCCCCAGGGAGUCAGGUGCACCCUCCUGGGGCCCUGGAGUCCUUGGCACGCCGGGCCCCCUCAGGUGCUCAGGCGAUGUGGCGAAUGCUUCCUCUGCUGCGACUGACUGUGGCUGGAGGUGCUUGGGUGUAACUGGUCGGUGUGCAUUCAGGGACCACACCGAGCAUUGGCCAACGAGUUCAGGAAAAGUGUAAGACAGUGACGGGCUUCCGCAUUCUGAAACAGUACCAAACACAUGAUGAAAAAUGUCUGUCUGGUAGAAGGAGAAGAGGCACGCAGUCCGUAACCUGAAGGUCGUUACACUCUAAGUCAAUCUCGGCCAAACUGAGCUGGACAGAACCCAUUACAGAGCUCAUAUGACGCUUGGUGGGUAGACUGGCAUCAGUCAAACCCACAGGCUGCCCCGGGGUCACACCAAAGCUGGCACUUAGAGUUUUAACACACAGACAGCACACAUUAUCCAGCUAAUGACGGAAUUACAGCGCUGACUCACCAUGUAGCUACAUGUAAGCGAUGGGAGGACGGCAAUAGAUUAUCGCCUGGAAGAAGAGGAACUUUCCCAGGAGAAGCAGCUGUCAGCGAGCAGGAGAGAGAGAGAGACGCAAAUAAAGAAAGAAAGAAAGAGAAAGGUGGAGAUGCACAUAAACUCCCCAGAAUGGAGGUUUAGAUGAUUGUAAUUAUGACUCUUUAAAAAACGCUCAAUACUGUCAUUAUCAUUGAGUCAUAUGCCCAUGCAAGAGAAAGGGAUGUUUAAAGGGAUGUGUCAUCGGUGUCUGAGGUUGAAAUUGUUAGGACGGGUUUACACUGGGAAGAAAUGAGAUAUACGGAGUGUCCUUUAAGACUGGCACAUUCAAUAAACACGGAUAACAUGUCCAAGAGGAA